rnacentral:misc_RNA from 1 species
UCAGUUGGUUAGAGCGCGCGCUUGAUAAGCGUGAGGUCGGAAGUUCAAGUCUUCCCAGGCCCACCAUUUUGAUCGAGUGCGGAGCAUUCGUCUUCUGGUACGGGGCCAUAGCUCAGCUGGGAGAGCGCGUGCUUUGCAAGCAUGAGGUCGUCGGUUCGAUCCCGUCUGGCUCCACCAGAUGGUUUGAUCACCAACGGCGUUACCGUCGUCCGCGAAACAUCACUUCGCACUCAUUGGUCCGGAUGGACGGUGACGUGCGUGUUUUCUGACAUCGUAAAGAGGAGAUCGAUCCGAGUUUGGAUCAAGCGAAGCAAUUCGCCUGAACCAUUCAUUAUCUCCGGGAUCAUUUCGGCGCUCGCUUUCAAUCGUGAGAUUGGAUGCGGGUUGUAAAUGAUCCCUUUUAGCGAAGCUUGACCGCCUCGCUAUCGGGCCGAUCUUACGAAGCAAGCUGGUCUUUCUAGUCAAUGUCCGGCUGCGCGAUCGCAUUCAUCGAGGAUGCGCGCCUUCAGUGGCAAUUGUGCAGACAACAUUCUGCCGAGUGUGUGGACAUUGAUAAUGAGAGCAAUCAAGUGCCUUAAGGGUGUUCGGUGGAUGCCUUGGCGCUGAGAGGCGAUGAAGGACGUGCUACGCUGCGAUAAGCCGUGGGGAGCUGCGAAGAAGCUUUGAUCCGCGGAUUUCCGAAU